AUACGGAGGGUGCGAGCGUUAAUCGGAAUUACUGGGCGUAAAGCGUACGUAGGCGGUUGGUUAAGUUAGAUGUGAAAGCCCCGGGCUUAACCUGGGAACUGCAUUUAAAACCGGCGAACUAGAGUUGAGUAGAGGGGAGUGGAAUUUCAGGUGUAGCGGUGAAAUGCGUAGAGAUCUGAAGGAACACCAGUGGCGAAGGCGACUCCCUGGACUCGAACUGACGCUGAGGUACGAAAGCGUGGGUAGCAAACGGGAUUAGAAACCCGAGUAGUCC
rnacentral:rRNA from 1 species